rnacentral:rRNA from 1 species
UCCGUGUGUCGUCGUCGACGACGUCUACGAGAGUAGUAGACUCGUGCUAGGACGAACGCUGGCGGCGUGCUUAACACAUGCAAGUCGAACGAGGGAUGAAGAAAGCUUGCUUGUUCAUUCCGAGUGGCGGACGGGUGAGUAACGCGUGAGGAACCUGGCUUUUUGCAGGGGGAUAGCGUCGCGAAAGUGACGGUAAUACCGCAUAAGACCACGCCACCGCAUGGUGGAGGGGUCAAAGGAGAGAUCCGGCGAAAGAUGGACUCGCGUCCCAUUAGGCAGUUGGCGGGUAAAAGCCCACCAAACCGACGAUGGGUAGCCGACCUGAGAGGGUGAUCGGCCACAUUGGAACUGAGAGACGGUCCAAACUCCUACGGGAGGCAGCAGUGGGGAAUAUUGGGCAAUGGGCGAAAAAGCCUGACCCAGCAACGCCGCGUGAGGGAAGAAGGUUUUCGGAUUGUAAACCUCUGUCCCAGGAGACGAGGAGAAGACGGUAUCCUGGGAGGAAGCCCCGGCUAACUACGUGCCAGCCGCAGC